UACAGAGGGGGCAAGCGUUAUUCGGAAUCAUUGGGCUUAAAGCGCGUGUAGGCGGCUUGGUAAGCGUCCCGUGAAAUCUCACUGCUCAACGGUGAAACUGCGGGGCGAACUGCCUGGCUUGAGGUUGGUAGAGGUGCCUGGAACUCUAGGUGGAGCGGUGAAAUGCGUAGAUAUCUAGAGGAACACCAGAGGCGAAAGCGGGGCACUGGGCCAAUACUGACGCUGAGACGCGAAAGCGUGGGGAGCAAACAGG
rnacentral:rRNA from 1 species